rnacentral:rRNA from 1 species
UGGGGAAUAUUGCACAAUGGGCGCAAGCCUGAUGCAGCGACGCCGCGUGAGGGAUGGAGGCCUUCGGGUUGUAAACCUCUUUCGCCAGUGAAGCAGGCCAUCUUCUUUGUGGGGUGGUUGACGGUAGCUGGAUAAGAAGCGCCGGCUAACUACGUGCCAGCAGCCGCGGUAAUACGUAGGGCGCGAGCGUUGUCGGAAUUAUUGGGCGUAAAGAGCUCGUAGGCGGCUGGUCGCGUCUGUCGUGAAAUCCCCUGGCUUAACUGGGGGCUUGCGGUGGGUACGGGCCGGCGUGAGUGCGGUAGGGGAGACUGGAAUUCCUGGUGUGGCGGUGGAAUGCGCAGAUAUCAGGAGGAACACCGGUGGCGAAGGCGGGUCUCUGGGCCGUUACUGACGCUGAGGAGCGAAAGCGUGGGGAGCGAACAGG